CCCCCUCAAACAUAUCCUAUAAUCAGGAACCAUUUAGGGUUCAAAAUUAUAGAAAUCCAAAGGUAUUAUUAUUAGUUGACAUUUUCUUUAAAUUUGUUUCCCGUGUAGGAAAUAGGAAUUAAUUUGAGUCCAAUAUUUAAGAUAGUAUGAUUGACAGUCAGGGCCGGCCCAAUACAUGGGCGAGUUGGGCCUAGGCCCAGGGCAUAAAAAAUAUGGGGGCAUAAUUUUUAUACAAUAUGCGUUACUAUAUACUAUACUAUGUUGGAAGUUCAGUCCAUUUGUGAGUUGUGCUCACGAAGAAAUCAACGUACUGGGGCAUAAUUUCACUGAAAGCCUCCAACAAAUAAUCAAAGUUCUUGAGAUUUUCAAUCGUCAAAAUCGGUAAUCGGUAACACCCUUGAAAACUGAAAAUCGUUGAGCGAUAUGUUGGGAUCGAGGAGUCAAGUUCUAAAUCAGUAAAUCGGAAGCAGAAAGAAGUUUAAUUAUUUAUUGAACAUAUGAGUUCUUAUUUCUGUUUUUUUACUAUCUAUACUUUUAGUGAGUAGCAAAAAGAUCUCUUGACAUCUUGAAAGGGGAAAACAUAAACUUUGGACAUGUUGUAUCUUUUUGUUGCUUAAAUUUUAUAAUUAGAUUUUUUGAGUUAUAUAUAUGUUUCUCUGAAAACAACCAUAAGGUGCUGCUCAAAAUAGAAAACAAAAAGAGAACAAGAAGAGUGGAGUAUGCAAGAAUAAUAUAUAUGUUCACUAAUGUUUUGGUUGUGUAUAUGAUAUUGUUGAUUGUGCAGGUUAUGGUUGCUUCCGCGGAAGGAAAUUUUUCAAAAUUGAAGGUCUUGAAAUUGUAUAUUUACCAUGACUCAAGAAAAGAUUGAAUAUAUUAGCAUUUUUAAGUAUUGAAAGUGAUUUUUUUCAAAAUAUUAAUUAUUGUAAAAUAAGAGAUGUUUUAGCUUCAAAAAAGUACAUACAGACGUCAUUUUAGGUGAUUUUUGUAGGUUUUUUAUUCUACUAUUUGUUUGAUUAUAAUAUUUACUGCAUUUUUUAUUUUAUAAA